rnacentral:rRNA from 1 species
GUCUUUUUGAGUAUAAUUUAAAGUCUGGCCUGCCCACUGAAAUUUUAAGGGCCGCGGUAUUUUGACCGUGCAAAGGUAGCAUAAUCAAUAGUUUUUUAAUUGAAAGCUGGAAUGAAGGGUUGGAUAAGAAAAAUACUGUCUUAAAUUAAAUUUUUUAAAACUUUAUUUUUAAGUUAAAAAGCUUAAAUUUUUUUAAAAGACGAGAAGACCCUAUAGAGUUUUAUAAUAAUAUUAAAUUUAAUUUUUUAGUAUUUAUUUUUUAAUUUUAUUUUUAUUAUUUGAUUGGGGUGAUUUAAAAAUUUAAAAAACUUUUUAUUUUUUUUUACAUUAAUUAAUGAAAAAUUGAUCCAUAAAAAUGAUUAAAAGAAUAAAUUACCUUAGGGAUAACAGCGUAAUUUUUUCUGAGAGUUCUAAUUGAUGAAAAAGAUUGCGACCUCGAUGUUGGAUUAAAGUUAAUUUAUGGUGCAGAAGCUAUUGGAUUUGGUCUGUUCGACCUUUAAAACUUUACA